rnacentral:rRNA from 1 species
GAUGAACGCUGGCGGUAUGCUUAACACAUGCAAGUCGAACGGACUCUUCGGAGUUAGUGGCGGACGGGUGAGUAACGCGUGAGAAUCUGGCCUUGGGUUCGGGACAACCACUGGAAACGGUGGCUAAUACCGGAUGUGCCGAGAGGUAAAAGAGAAAUUGCCUGCAGAUGAGCUCGCGUCUGAUUAGCUAGUUGGUGAGGUAAAGGCUCACCAAGGCAGCGAUCAGUAGCUGGUCUGAGAGGAUGACCAGCCACACUGGGACUGAGACACGGCCCAGACUCAUACGGGAGGCAGCAGGGGAGAAUUUUCCGCAAUGGGCGAGAGCCUGACGGAGCAAUACCGCGUGAGAGAAGAAGGCUCUUGGGUUGAAAACCUCUCUUCUUAGGGAAGAACAAAAUGACGGUACCUAAGGAAUCAGCAUCGGCUAACUCCGUG